AAUAUAUUCAAAAAAUAAAAACUAAAAAAAAAAUUUUUUUUUUAUUUUUUUGAAGUAACUUUCAAAAUACUUGACUAAUCAACUCCAGUAUUCAGAAACCUUUCUUAACUUAGAAAACUGCGUCGAAUGUUGCCAAAACAUUUUUAUGAACAUUCGAUUGAAUCGAGCGGAACAAAGAAAGUGUUUGGUGCCAAGUAAACAAAGAAACGUCUCGAAUCAGGAUGUUAAAAUUUAUUUAUUUUAUUGGACUUACUCGGACCAUCUGAUUUUAUGGGGCUUUAAUAUACAAGGAAACGAUAAGCCGGUAAAUUGCAAGAUUCGAGAAUAAGUUAAUAUGUUAAUGAACGUAUUUACGUCCUAUUGAAUCUCUGUUAAUGUUGAAUCUUCCGUGUCAACUGCAAAUGAACCACAUCCCAAGAUUGCUCCCAUGGCAAAUCGCAUGACUGAAAUUGCUGAAAUUGAACAACAAUUCUCGGACCAUGGACAUCCGAUAUUCCGGAUGUCCAUUUAAUUAUAAUAAAAUACAAUAAAUAAUAAAUUCUGGGAUAAUAUAUAAUAUAUAGACGGGUGUCGUAUUAUAUGUGAGUGAUUUAUUAUAAAUUUAUGCCGCUAUUAAACUUACCCGAGGUUAAAGAGAGUUAAGUCAAAACUCUUCGGCGGCUAUUAACC